rnacentral:rRNA from 1 species
AAUCAACGCUGGCGGCGUGCCUCAGACAUGCAAGUCGAACGAUUAAAGCUCUCUUCGGAGAGUGUAUAGAGUGGCGCACGGGUGAGUAACACGUAAGUAAUCUACCUUCGAGUGGGGAAUAACGUCCGGAAACGGGCGCUAAUACCGCAUAAUGCAGCGGCAUCGCAAGAUGACAGUUGUUAAAGAUUUAUCGCUUGAAGAGGAGCUUGCGGCAGAUAGCUAGUUGGUAAGGUAAUGGCUUACCAAGGCUACGAUCUGUAACCGGUCUAAGAGGACGGUCGGUCACACUGACACUGAAUAACGGGUCAGACUCCUACGGAGGCAGCAGUCGGGAAUUUUGGGCAAUGGGCGAAAGCCUGACCCAGCAACCGCCGCGUGAAGGAUGAAGUAUUUCGGUAU